AGUGUGUCCCCCCAGCAGCCCCCGCUGCCGCCUCCCCCGGGGGCGAAGCGCAUCCUGGCCGCAAGCCUGCGAGCUCCGCGCUGGGCCCAGCCAGCCCAGGCGGUCAGGGGGCUGCUCAGGGGGCCGGGGAAGUAAGCCUGGGGCCGCGGCCAGGACUCUCCGGAGGCGGCGCGGGGGCUGGCCCCGAGGUCACCUUGACCGUGUGCAGCUCAGAGGACGAGAUGGACACAGCGAGUGUGGACUGGGUGCCAGAGCCCCUCUUCGCCGUCCAGGAGAGUUUCCGAGAGGAGAAGGCGCCCGGAUACAUCCCCCCACUGGCCGCACUCACCGCACCCUCCGCGCAGGCCGCGCGGCGCACACAACCCGCCAUGGAGCCCCCGCAGGUCACGGUCAGACUCCCGGUGGUGCACACGAUGCCGCCCCCUCCCGCCACCCCGCAAAGGGCGCCAGGAGACCAAGGCUGGGGUCCUCUGGGCAGGGUCAUUGAGACUGGAAACCCAGGCGCCCCACAUUCCCCCACCGCCGAGAGCGGGAGCCGGGGUGCGCCUCCGCAGGGCGCAGGGGCGGAGCCGAGGCUCGCAGCCACACGCGGUACUGCUGCCCGCGGUCCAGACCUCCCCGCCGCCGUCUCCACGACGGGGCCACAGAACAGCUCCUUGGGAGGAAAGGACGCCAGACCUGGGCCUGGGGCCUCACAAUGGCUCCUGAAGCCCAAGGACGUGCGUGGGGAGGACUCGCGUGGAGAGGACUCGGGUGGGGAGGACGCGUCCCCCCUGAGUUCUGAGCCGCCUCUGCGGUCAGAACCGCAGGGACGGCCAGGCGGCGACGCCGGUGCCUGGGAGAACCGCGGGAGGGGCCACACGGGCUGUGCACCCGNNNNNNNNNNNNNNNNNNNNNNNNNNNNNNNNNNNNNNNNNNNNNNNNNNNNNNNNNNNNNNNNNNNNNNNNNNNNNNNNNGGGCUGGGGAGAGGCCCGAGAGCCCCGUGCACAGGGGCCCCCCGAGCGAGCAGGAAGGCCGCGGGAGGCCCCCGCCACGGCCGGAGUCAGCUGGGUGCGCGCCUACAGCUGCAGGGAGCGCUGGCAGUGAUCUCGGUGAGGAGAGAGCCUCCUCCUCAAAUGAAAAGACACCGCCGGGUGUCAGAGCCCCCAGGCAGGAGCCAGUGGGCAGCGCCUCCCGGAAUCCCCCAGCCCCGAGCCCCAGAAACUUGGCAGCUGGGCUGCGGGAGGGUAAGGGGGCUGGGUGGCCCACAGGCCCGGGCCUCAUGGGUGUCGUGCCUGAGGAGUCUUCUGGCCAGCCUGGCGGCCACAGCUCAGCCUUGGGGUCCCCGCCCGGCCCCACUCAGGAGGCCCCCGGCGUGCCGACUCUGGCCGUCCAGCCCCACCUGGUGGCUCCGGGUCAACUGGCCACAGGUGACGUGGCCACAGGCGGAGUGAAGGUGGAGGCAGGAGACAGAGUCACAGGCUCUGCGCGGCAGAGGCCUCGGGGGGACAGCCUGGAGCUCCCAACUCCAGCCCCAGGCCUGCCGGAGCCACAGGGGACCCACGGGGCAGGGACUCCAAGGCCGCAGCUUCCUGAGACGCAGCAGGCAGAGGGCAGGGCGGGCCUCUCGUCCAGUGAACAGCUUCCCCUCAGUGCCAGGCCUUCCCACCAGCCCGGCCCCUCGUCCGCAGCAGCAGACGGGCGAUGGGGGGACAGGGUGGCCCCCAAGCACCCUGACCUCCAGGCUUCCGGGCAAGUGGAGGGAGGGGAGCAGGCUGGUCUGGGGACUCGAGAGAGUCGGCGUGGACGAGAGGAGGGGUCCCCAGGGGCUGUGAGUCGGGAUGGUUCUGGAAGGAAGGGAGAAGGCCUUCGGGGUGAGAGGUCCGGCUCGCGAGGGGUCAGGGAGUCUGGGAGCAGGCCCCCGGAGGAGGCUCUUGGUAGGCAUGCCGGGAAGGGCCCAGAACUCCCUCGGAGGCAGCAGGCGGGGCAUGCCAAGGGUCUCCCGGAGGAGCGGAGGGCCCCGGCUGCAGAGAGCAAAGCCCCUUCCCUCUCGGGGAGCCCCGCACUCCCAGCGCAGGCCCAGGUGAGCCAGAUGGUGCCUCCCAAUUCAGCACGGCCCGCAAGUGGCUCGGGGGGAGUGACGCUCGCAGCGGGCAGAAAUGAGGCACCCCAGGUUCCAGCCCCCAGGGGUGGUCAGGGGGGCCCCCGAGUGCUACUGGGAGAAGGCCAGAGCCCGGCAGCACCCAGCCCCCGGGAGGGGGAGAUCCAGGCACCCUCCAGCAUCCAGAAGGGGCGGAGUCCAGCGGCCCCCAGCUUCCAGCCAGUGCCAGGCUCUGCAGUGCCCACACCCAAGCUGGGGAGCAGCCUUGUGCCCCGUGGCCCUGCCCAGGAGGGGCCCCCAGAUGCCCCCGGGGUGGGGCGUGGCAGGCGCGGGCCGCAGCUGGCCAAGUACCGAGCCCAGAGCUUCAGUGACCAGAGGUCCUUUGAGCUGUCUUUUAGGCCAACCAUCCUCAGGGCCAGCGACAAGUACAGGCCUCCGCAGUGACCCCGAGUGGCGUCAGAGGCCCAGAUCUCACUGGGGUUGGGCACGGCUGCUCCAGACCCCCCAGCCUGGCCAGAACCCACAGACCCGGUGGCCACUGACUCUCAGAGCCGUGAAAGGCCAUUCCUAGUGCUGCUCCCAGGCGCUUUCCCUCAGGGCCUGCUGAGCAGAGGGGCCCGUCACCCAGCUCAUCUGUCCCUCGGCCGUCAGAGCAGCGUCCGAGGGCCUGUGAGUCCUGCUGGGGCCUGGGCAGGCGCUGGCCCCGGGGCCGCCCACCUGCAGGGGCCAGGGUCGGCCCCCCGAGCUACAGACCCCGAAGGCCCUUAGACAGACCAGAACGUCCACUGAGAUGCAGCCAGUCGUGUCCGUGGAAACACCUGAGCCCCCCACCCCACCCUGAGCCUCCGAGGGGCCACCUCCCACGGCCCCCACUGCCGGCGACACCGUCCUCCCAGCAACCCCCCAGAAGAGAACAGAGAGACCCCCGAGGACUUGCUGGGGGUCAGUGUUCAGCUGGUCCUGGACCCCUGAAGAUUUGCUGGGGGUCAGUUUCAGCUGGUCCUGGAGACCCCUGAGGACUUGCUGGGGGUCAGUUUCAGCUGUCCGGGACCCCUGAGGACUUGCUGGGGGUCAGUCUCAGCUGUCCGCGACCCCUGAGGACUUGCUGGGGGUCCAUUUCAGCUGGUCCUGGAGAACCCUGAGGACUUGCUGGGGGUCAGUCUCAGCUGGUCCUGGACCCCUGAGGACUUGCUGGGGGUCCGUUUCAGCUGGUCUGGGGCCCCCGCCUGGACCACCGGGCCCUUCGAGCUUGGCUGGUGGACAGAGUGCUCACACUGCAAGUGGGAUGUCUCUUCUACAGAAGAAAGACCCUCGAGACCCCUGGGCUGAAACAAGCGUUGCGGCAGCGGUGGGCGGGCAGGUGGCCGACGUCUACAUCGGCGUCUUAGCAACGUGCUUUCUUAUGUUGAAGUAGCUCCUCGGCUCUCACCUCGAUUCAGCGCUUUCAGGCUCUGUCUACAGACCCGUCCGUGACCCCACGUGUGUAUGUAUGUGCGUGCUGCCCGAGGAGAAGACGCUGUCACCAGGAUCACGGGCGUGCGUUGUUAUUUCAGGUGCCCGGUCGGGAGCAGCGUCGCUCAGGAGUGUACAAAUUCAGCAUCGCGUAUUUGUGUAGUUAGGGCAUCUUUGCGGUUCGGUCGUGACUUUUUAAAUAUUUGAUUACAUAUUAACCGUCAGCUGUUGAUUCAACGUUCCUUAUUUUAUCCUCCUUUGUAUACAGGUUAGCUCUAAAAUGAUCCCUUAGGCAAGAAUUAACUAAAUAUAUUUUGUGGUAUUCUUUCCUUUGAAUUUCUACUAACUUUAUUCAGCUGGAAACCAUCUUGAGAAAGGAAAUAAAACAUGCGGCUCGCCACACACCUGGUCCUCACCUCUCUGACAGCUGUGGAGGAGGCAGGGCUCAGGCCAAGAAGCAGGAGCGGCAGCUUCCCAGUGGGGGCCCUGGGGGCCCAGACGAGGCCAGCGGCCGUCCCGGGACACACAGGGGGGCCCUGGGGGCCCGGACGAGGCCAGCGGCCUUCCUGGAACUUACAGGGGCCCCCCGGGGCUUGGACGAGGCCAGCGGCCAUCCUGGGACUUACAGGGGCCCCCCGGGGCUUGGACGAGGCCAGCGGCCUUCCUGGGACUAACAGGGGCCCCCCGGGGCUUGGACGAGGCCAGCGGCCUUCCUGGGACUUACAGGGGCCCCCCGGGGCUUGGACGAGGCCCGCAGCUUUCCUGGGACUCUCGGGGGGCCCCGGGGCUUGGACAAGGCCAGCGCUGUCCCAGGACGCACAGGUGCCCGGUGGGCUAGGCAGAGCCCCGGGUAGAGGAAGGGCCGCCCCCAGGAAGCGGGGGCUGGGGGAGGCAGUGGCCACUUCCCCGGGGUGUCCAGGGAGGCUGCGGUGCCCAGAGCAGGGCCUGGGGUCAGCACCAGGGUGGGUAGGGAGGCCGCCAGUGGGAGCCCGGGCCUGGUGCUCCAGAGCCCAGCACUGCACGCAGGGGCGGGCCUGUGUCCAGCCUCUCCUGACGAGCUCCUUGGUGCCUGGAGACGCCGGAGGCGGGGUCCCCGUGUCCCCCUCCUUCUGCCCAGGAAGGACUUCUCAGAAGAGCAGCUNNNNNNNNNNNNNNNNNNNNNNNNNNNNNNNNNNNNNNNNNNNNNNNNNNNNNNNNNNNNNNNNNNNNNNNNNNNNNNNNNNNNNNNNNNNNNNNNNNNNNNNNNNNNNNNNNNNNNNNNNNNNNNNNNNNNNNNNNNNNNNNNNNNNNNNNNNNNNNNNNNNNNNNNNNNNNNNNNNNNNNNNNNNNNNNNNNNNNNNNNNNNNNNNNNNNNNNNNNNNNNNNNNNNNNNNNNNNNNNNNGCCCCCAGGACCCUCAGUGCCUGGAUCCACCUGCAGCCUGUGAAAGCACCGGGCCUUUUCCCUGAAAGAACUGAGAGCCUAAGGAAGCUGACUUUUCUCAUAUCCACAGAAAACCUGAUCAAUAGUUGAUCCAAGAAAACAGUGGGAGAUUCCAUUGGAACCACCCGAGGACUGUAGUCUUUCAGAAAGUUCUAGGACCCUGCCGGUUAGAGGUCAGAGCACACGUGGGUAAGCUUUUGAGACAAGGGGUUAUGGUCACAGGACCCAGGUUGCAGGUCGGGGGUGUCACUGUGACCCCACGCACGUGCACACGGGGGGCUCUCCUGGAGGCCUGCUCAGAGCAAGCAGAUGCUCGACCUGGACCGCAGGGACGGAGGAGCCCCAAACCUGUGAAGCAGGAACCCCGCUGCCCCCACCACACCAAGAGCCGGCGUGGCUUCCCACGCGGCCUGCCCCUCCCGCGGUUCCCUGGACGCCAGCCGGCUCCUGCAGUAGGCUCAUGUCGUCCACCGUCCACCCCACGGAUUUGGACUCAGCUCCAGGGUCAGCAGGCAGUGCUGGACCCCCAACACCCCCACUUCUGUAAACAGGGGUGCAGAACACCUUGCUCCCACAGCCAGCUUUCUAGAAAGGUGGCGGGUGAACGGCCUCGCGAUGAGGCCAGCGGGCCUGGACGGGACAGUCCUGACCGGCGGGCCUCCUGCCCCCGAGUCCGCAGCACGACGCUCUCAGCCCCAUGUCUCGGGCUCCCAUGGGUGGUCCGACCCCAGGCAGGACGGGUGAACUCACUGGCUGCUGGUGAUUAACUCGGCCUCCGUCCCCCCGAGGUCAGGGCUGGGACUGCACGCUCCGAGCCUCUAAGGGGAGUAGUGCUCCACGUCCAGGUCUGGGGAGACCCUCCGGCUCAGCCACAAGUUAACCUGGGCUCGAUGCUGCUAAAACAGCCCACCUGCCGCCCGCCAGGCGCACACUAUGUCUGCUUUAACUGGUAAAGAAAGGGAUGCUCUGACCAGAAGUAAGAGCAUCCGUGUUGGAUUCCGUCAGCUGGAGGUCCAGCGGUUAAGAUGCUGCACUUCCAAUGGAGGGGUUGAAGGCUCAAUCCCUCAUCAGGGAACUAAGAUGCCACGUGCCGCUUGUUUUUUUUUAACCGUGGAAGAAUGGAUCCCUAACUUGUUUGACGUUCUUUGUUCUGACAAGCCACAAAACUGCUGAAAACUGCUUCUCCAGGACAGAUUCCCAGCACCACCCGGGAGGAUGGCUCCCACCUACAGUCUUCAGUUGGCUCACGUAAAACUCGGCUCCUGUUACAGGUUGCAUGUUGAUUAUAUGAGACGCCUCUCACCAGGGGCCCGGUCUCCCCUCCGUCCAGAGUUGCCACCUUGGCAGAAACCCGGGUGAGGCCCAAAGGGAUUUGACCGGGGCAAAGUUUGAGGGUCGUGGGCUGGAUGGAGCCCAGGCACACGCGUGCCGCUCAUCACCUAGUUGCGGGCCAGGCGGGGUUGUGGCGGAGGUGUGAACCCGCCGGAAAUGCACAGCCAGGGGAGAAUUUCAAGUCUUUCAGAAACAGCCUGAAGGAGCCAGCCGAUAUGCGCUGGCCUCCACGCUCGCCCUGCCGACGGAUGGCAGCAGCGAGACGGGAAGCUCUGACUCUCUGGGCCCCGGCGGCCAUGCUGACCGUGGAGGACCACAGGCUCUCGUCUGGGUCACUGUUCCCCAAGUUACCCUAAACGCACCUGAGACUCUCCCUUCUUUGUCUCCCGGCGUCGGGAGGCAGUGAGAGGCUGCCCUGCCUGCGUCCCAGUGACGCUGCUGACCCACGAGUCCUGGUGACCCACGAGUCCCGGUGACGCUGCUGACCCACGAGUCCCGGUGACCCACGAGUCCCGGUGACCC
ensembl:lncRNA